GCACUUCCAUUUUUUUACAUUCUUUUGCACCCACAAAAAAAUACUUGGACUACCAUUCAAUUAAUUGUUUCCUCUAGAUAGUUCAUUUCUGGCUGAUUAAUUAUAUAGUACCAUGGAUGUUAAUGUUCUAGAGAGAGAGAGCGAAAAUGUUCAUCUAAAGUUUCCAUUAAGGGACUUAAGUGCAGAUCUGAUGUGAAAGGGAGUAAAGUUCCAAUCUGGUCCUCUUGCCCGCUCUUCAACACCGACGUACUGAUCCCAGCCAGGAACCAGGGACUGCGACCUGCAGGAGGCGCGUGCGCUCCUCGAGUACAACCCUCGGCUGGCCCAGUACUCCACAUUUGGCGGCUGCAAUUUGCCUCUGCACUACGCCGCCGCACAGGGUCACCAUGAGAUUGUUUCUAUGUUAUUCGAAUUUGGUGUAGAGAUCAAUCUCAUAACUAAAGGGGCAGACUGCUUUGAUGCAAGCAUGCCAAUAUGGCCACUGGGAGGUUGUUCAAACGCUGAUGCUCUUCAAUGCAAAUGCGAGUAUAUUGCUUGUUGUUCACUCUGUUUCUUUUUACUGCCUGGAUAUGUAGUCCUGAGGCGGCGGCUAAAUGUCUUUUCAGAUACACAGGUCAGAUUAUCCGAAUGGAAGGGACUGCUAUCCAUUUUGCUGCACUGCACGGUCAUGCCCGGUGCCUUCGCCUUGUGCGUGCAGAUUAUGUGCCAAGCAUACCGAACUUCUUAAACCAGACGAAUCACAGAUCAUCUGAAGAAGUUUCAGAUGUGGCUUCGCCUUGUGCGUGCAGAUUAUGUGCCAAGCAUACCAAACUUCUUAAACCAGACGAAUUACACAGAUCAUCUCAAGAAGUUUCAGAUGCUGAUUUCGACGAUGAGCCAAGUUUACAAAUUAACAAGGGAUUCUCAAACAGCCGUGAAAAUUUCAUGGAGCAUGCAUGGAGCCAAUAAUAAAUUAGAACAACUUGGGGAUAAUAUGAAUUUCUACCCUCCUUUUAGGUAAUAGAACACGGCAUUUGAUUUGGUUUUAUUUCUGUAUUUGUAGAUACUGCUACAUUUUCCUCCUAUUUUAGUUCGGUACAUUUCCUGAUGAGACCACUCAUUUAGACAAACUUCUGGUUCCUUUGUUCGGUCGUGAUGGCUCUGACAUGCUCCUAUGAUUUUGAUUCCUGAAUACUUGAUGUGUUUCUUCGCCCACUUAUUGACUAGCAGAACGAAGUAGCAAAGGUCCUCACUACUACCAUGCAGUUCAAUUGUAUCUUCAUCUACUGGUUUGGUGGAAACAUGAAAGCAAGGGUUGGUAACUAAUUCUCAAAUUUUAGGGGAAGAUCAUGGCUGUAUAUAAAAUCAUUGUACUACUCCCUUUGUCUCGAACAGGAUGUCAUAGAUUUUUCUAAAUUCGGAUGUAUUUACACACUAAAUAUUUGUCUAAAUUCAUUAUGUAUACAAAAUUAUACUCUUAAGAUACUAUUAGAUGGCAGCCUAUAUGUACCAGACUUUCAGAGAUAUUUAUUUGAUUAUGUUGUUAUAUUAUUUAUUGUUCCCUCUCAUUGUUCUUUUUUUCUAGGCUUCGCUCUCUACUGAAAGCAUCAAGUUACAUGUCCAUUUCUUUAGAUCUACAUGUCCCUUUUUUCAUUGGAGUUCUUGGUGCCUACAGAGUUUAGAUGACUGACAUUGAGGUGCAAGAAUAGUCAGUACUGGAUAACGGGUGUUUUGCUUCUGCUCUAAUGCGGACCAGGAUGAUGCUCAAGCAGCUACAUUCAGAUAUCUGCAUGUGACAGCUACAUAUGUUCGAUGCUCAGGCUACCUACAAGAGUUGAUCAGUGGUUAGUUUCAUGUUAUCCUAUGGUCAGUGGUUCCUUUUGUGCAUAAGUUACCUGCAAGAGCUGACACACUUCAAGAAAACACUACCUAGAUAAUAGUGCAGCUAUACUACAUAAAUUUUUCAUCAGUAGUUGGCUCCAUGUUAUGCUAUGGUCAUUAGUUCUCUUGUGUAUUUUGUGCUUUUCUGUAUAAUUGUAAUGUAAUCAGUAUGUGCUGA